ACGUUAGCGGCGGACGGGUGAGUAACACGUGGGUAACCUACCUAUAAGACUGGGAUAACUUCGGGAAACCGGAGCUAAUACCGGAUAAUAUUUCGAACCGCAUGGUUCGAUAGUGAAAGAUGGUUUUGCUAUCACUUAUAGAUGGACCCGCGCCGUAUUAGCUAGUUGGUAAGGUAACGGCUUACCAAGGCACGAUACGUAGCCGACCUGAGAGGGUGAUCGGCCACACUGGAACUGAGACACGGUCCAGACUCCUACGGGAGGCAGCAGC
rnacentral:rRNA from 1 species